rnacentral:lncRNA from 1 species
AACCGAAACUGCAUUGUUUCAUUUGGUUACUCAAAUGAACAUUUUGUGUUUUAGUUUGUUUUGAACUAAGUUGGUAACUGUAUUUUGAUGUAAUUAGGUGCUGAAUGACAAGUUUAGGUAGAAGUUUAUGUUUUCAAUCAAGUUUACCAAGUUACUAGGCAAUUUAGUGGUGUUAGGUAUGUCAUUAGGUGAUUACUUGUUUGUUUUACUUGUUGACUGAUAUAUGUAAUGGCUUAAUGCCUUGUUGAUGGGUUAAUGAAAAAUAUCAGCUCAUUUUCAUUCAAUCUUCUUUUGUUAUUCACUAGCUAGCUUCAUUUUUCUAUUUUCUGCUUCCGAGUUUGUUUCUUCACCAAGGCUCGAGGCUUGCUAUACAAGCAAGACAUAAAACAGCCUGUUAUUGCCUCUUGCACCAACAAUUGGUAUCUAGAGCCGUUGUCUUAGUGGACCUGUUGCUUCAAACCAAGGAACUUGAUGGCUUCUUCAGGAUUUUCACCAGCAGCCCCACCAGUCUUUAAUGGAGAAAGCUUUCACAUAUGGCUGGUAAAGAUGAAGACUUACCUGCAGGCCUUUGAUCUAUGGGAAGUUGUUAACACAGAUGCUGAGCCAGCACCACUGAGGGCUAAUCCCACAGUAGCUCAGAUCAGACAACAUGCUGAUGAGAGGACCAAAAGGCACAAAGCCAUGUCCUGCAUUCAGAAUUGUGUAUCAGAUGUCAUCUUUACCAGAAUUAUGGCCUGUGAGACUCCAAAACAGGCCUGGGACAAGCUUAAGGAGGAGUUUCAAGGCACUGAGAGAACAAGGCAACAGCAGCUGUUGAACUUGAGAAGGGAUUUCGAGAAUUUGAAGAUGAAGGAAGAAGAAACAGUGAAGCAGUAUUCAGAUAGAAUUAUGGCAGUGGUUAACAGCAUAAGGCUCCUAGGUGAGCACUUUGAUGAGGCAAGAAUUGUGGAGAAAGUCCUCUCCACUUUGCUUGAGAAAUAUGAAGCAAAGAUAUCCUCCCUAGAGGACUCAAGAGACCUUGCUAGCAUUUCUUUGACUGAGUUAAUCAACACCUUCUAUGCUCAGGAACAAAGGAGAGCUAGCAGAGCUGAAGAUCACCAAGAAGGUGCAUUUCAAGCCAAGGCCAGAGAAGCCUCGAGCACCAAUGCUCAAAGAGGCAAAAAGCCUUGGAAAAGCAGGCCUAAGCCUGAUGCUGCAAGGAGCAAUGACCAGCCCUGCAGAUAUUGCAAGAAGCUAGGCCAUCCAGAAGACAGAUGCUGGUUUAGGCCAGAUGCAGUAUGCCAACACUGCAAGAAGAAGGGCCAUGUUGAAAGGGUCUGUAAAAACAGGAGUAAGCCAAGGCAAAAUCAAUUUCAGCAGUCAAAGGUUGAAGCUCGAGUAGCUGAGGACAGUAGUGACCAAGAAGAACAGGUCUUUGCUGUUUCCUGUUUAGCUGCUGAGAAGAAAUGCUCAAAAGGCUGGUUGUUGGACAGUGGUUGCACUAACCACAUGUCACCAGAUGCCUCCUUGUUUAAAACCUUGGACAGAAGUUGUAAAACCAAGGUCAAGGUUGGAAAUGGUCAGUUUAUAAGGGCUGAAGGAAGAGGAGAAGUGCUGAUAUGUACUCCCACAGGCAACAAGAUCAUUCCAAAUGUGCUGAUGGUGCCAGAGAUUGACAGAAACCUUCUCAGCAUAGCUCAACUGCUCGAGAAAGGUUAUUCUGUUGUGUUCAAGGACAAACAAUGCCACAUUACUGAUCCAAGUGGAUCAAGCCUUAUGACAGUCACAAUGACUGAUAAAUGCUUUGAGGUUCACUUGGCAAAUGACUCAAACUCAGCAUACACAACUUCUGUUGAUAACUUCAAGCUUUGGCAUCAAAGGCUUGGACAUGCCAACUUCAGAUCAAUGGCUCGAUUGGCCAAAGAGGGCUUGGCAGAGAACUUCACCAGCUCAGUGGAGCAUGAUGAUGUGUGUGAAGUUUGCCAGAUGGGGAAACAGGCAAGACUGCCAUUUCCUACAAAUUCAGCUUGGAGAGCUACUGAAAGACUGCAGCUGGUGCACUCUGAUGUAUGUGGCCCAAUGAGGACUGAAUCACUCAGCAAAAACAGGUAUUUCAUCCUCUUUAUUGAUGAUCUUACAAGGUUUUGCUGGAUUUUCUUCUUAAAACACAAGUCUGAGGUAGCUCAAGUGUUUGUGAAGUUUACAAAUGCUGUAGAAACAGAAACAGGUUGUAAGAUGAAAUCGAUAAGGACAGACAAUGGCACUGAGUACACUUCAGCUCAGUUUCAAGCCAUUUGCAAUGAUGCUGGUAUCAAACAUCAGCUUACAAAUGUCUACACACCUCAGCAGAAUGGGGUAGCUGAAAGAAAGAACAGAAGUCUGAUGGAUAUGGCCAGAUGUCUCCUGUUUGAAAAGAAACUGCCCAAGACCAUGUGGGCUGAGGCAGUAAACACUGCUGUUUACCUUCAGAACAGGCUUCCUACCAAAGCUCUUGCAUCCGAGACACCUUUCGAGGCUUGGUUCAGUUUCAAGCCUUCCUUGGCACAUCUAAAGGUGUUUGGUUGCCUGUGUUAUGCACAAAUACCAGCAGCAAAGAGAGACAAGCUCUCUAAAAGGGCUCAACCAGGUGUUCUAGUAGGCUACAGCUCAGUCAAAAAGGGCUACAGGGUUCUGGAUCCCUUGACAAACAAAGUCCAGGUGAGCAGAGAUGUCAUCUUUGAUGAAAAAGCCUGCUGGAAUUGGGAGAAAAAUGAGCCAGAAGCAAUUUCAGAAGACCUAGUGCCUAAUCAAGCUGAACUUGAGCAGCUAGGACCUGAAAUGGAUGUUGAUGAUGUGCCUGUGAGAGGCACAAGGCCCCUAGAAGAUAUUUAUGAAAGGGCACAGGUUGCAAUAGCAGAACCUAGCAGUUUUGAAGAGGCUGAGGCUGAUGAAGGUUGGAAACAGGCUAUGGUUGAUGAAAUCAACAUGAUUGUAAAGAAUCAGACAUGGGAGUUGGUUGAAAAGCCUGCCAACAGAAAGACUAUUGGUGUAAAAUGGGUCUAUCGAGUGAAGCACAAUGCGGAUGGAAGUUUAAACAAGCUAAAGGCCAGGCUAGUUGUAAAGGGCUUCAGUCAAAGGUAUGGUCUGGACUACAUGGAAACAUUUGCUCUAGUAGCCAGACUCGAUACAAUCAGAUUGCUGAUUGCAGUUGCUGCUCAGAACCAGUGGACAAUCCACCAAAUGGAUGUCAAGUCUGCAUUCCUCAAUGGAUUCCUAGAAGAGGAGAUAUACAUCGAGCAACCCCCAGGUUUUAUAAUGCCUGGUAAGGAACAUUUGGUGUAUAGGCUAAGAAAGGCCUUGUAUGGCCUAAAACAGGCCCCUCGAGCCUGGUAUGCUCGAAUUGACUCAUACUUGGUCAGUUUGGGAUUUGAAAGGAGUGCUAGUGAGCCAACACUUUAUGUUAAGAAGGAUCAAGCAGAAACACAGCUUAUUGUGUCUCUUUAUGUGGAUGAUCUCCUUGUAACAGGAGGAGACAAGAUUAUGUUAGAAGAUUUCAAAAGAAAAAUGAAGGAGAUGUUCGAGAUGUCAGAUUUGGGGUUGAUGACUUAUUUCCUUGGAAUAGAGAUACAACAAGCUGAUCAAGGAAUCUUUUUGGGACAAAAGGCGUUUGCUUUGAAAGUUUUAUCCAAGUUUUUAAUGCAAAAUUGCAAGCCAACAUGCACACCUAUGGCAGUUGGCAUAAAACUGUCGAGCCAAGAAGAACAUGAGCCUGUUAAUGAAUCAUUUUAUAGGAGCCUUGUUGGUUGUUUGCUGUAUUUAACAGCAACAAGACCUGACAUUCUGUUUGCUUUCAUGCACUGCUGUAGCCAGCAAUAUUACAAGGCUGGGAAAAGGGUGCUAAGAUACAUCAAAGGUACCUUAAACCAUGGAAUACAGUUUAGAAAGGCUGAAAAGUUGAAACUGAUUGGCUACACUGAUAGCGAUUGGGCUGGUUCAAAGGAUGACAUGAAGAGCACUUCUGGCUAUGCUUUUACACUUGGCUCAGCUAUGAUUUGUUGGAGCUCAAGAAAACAAACAAUGGUGGCUCAAUCGACAGCAGAAGCUGAGUAUGUAGCAGCUGCCAAUGCUGUUAAUCAAGCUUUGUGGCUGAGAAAAAUUUUGAGUGAUUUGAAUCUACAGCAGAAUGAUGCAACUGUGAUACAUUGUGACAACAAGUCAGCAGUUGCUAUUGCUAAAAACCCUGUCUUCCAUGGCAGGACAAAACAUUUCAACAUUAAACUCCAUGUGAUAAGAGAAAUGGAACAAGCUCGAGAGAUCAAGCUAAUUCAUUGCAGCUCAGAAGAUCAGAUCGCUGAUAUCUUCACAAAAUCACUUGGUGCAUCGAGAUUUGUAAACCUAAGGAAGCAACUAGGAGUCUGCUGCAUAGAAGCUGAGGAGGAGUGUUGAAGUCAACCCCCAUGCAGUAGCCAAGGUGACCAUGCAAGGUUGCCAUGCAGGGAUCGUGCUUUAACAGCAAACCGAAACUGCAUUGUUUCAUUUGGUUACUCAAAUGAACAUUUUGUGUUUUAGUUUGUUUUGAACUAAGUUGGUAACUGUAUUUUGAUGUAAUUAGGUGCUGAAUGACAAGUUUAGGUAGAAGUUUAUGUUUUCAAUCAAGUUUACCAAGUUACUAGGCAAUUUAGUGGUGUUAGGUAUGUCAUUAGGUGAUUACUUGUUUGUUUUACUUGUUGACUGAUAUAUGUAAUGGCUUAAUGCCUUGUUGAUGGGUUAAUAAAAAAUAUCAGCUCAUUUUCAUU